rnacentral:lncRNA from 1 species
AGAAGACUUUGUUAGAAGACUUCCAGGAAAUUUUGUAGUGCAUUAUAUGUUAAAAGAUUUUUGAGGGAAGUCUUCCAAAGUUUGACUCAAAUCUAAAAAAUAAUUGCAUAUUCAAAAGCAUUCAAAUAACUUCAAAACAAAGAAAAGUUUCAAAAAUAAAGUGUGAGUUUUAAGCAACAAAUAGAGAUUUCAAAAGGUAAGAGCUUUAAGCAGCAAAAGGUAAAAAUCAGACAUGAAGACUUAACAAAACGCUCAAAUCUGUUAUAAAAAAAGAGAAAUGGGAGAACACUUGUAAGUCUUUUGGUGCAUUAUAUGUAGGAAGACUUCCCUUUAUAUGUUAGUCUUUCAAAUCUUACUUUCUUUUUAAGUCUUCCAAAUCUGACUUAUAUCUGAAAAAUCUGCAUAUUCAAAAGGCUUUAAAACAAAAAAAAAACAAAAAUAAGGUAAGAGCAUUAAAAAAACAAAAACUAGUUUUCAAAAGGUAAGAGUUUUAAGCAACAA